CUGCCAGGUUAAAAGAAAUGUGGUCUUUGAAGUGCAAAUACAUAAGCUUUUCAACCCUGAGCAAU
rnacentral:snoRNA from 10 species